rnacentral:rRNA from 1 species
GGGUGAGUAAUGCAUCGGAACGUGCCAUUGAGUGGGGGAUAACGUAGCGAAAGUUGCGCUAAUACCGCAUAUUCUGUGAGCAGGAAAGCAGGGGACCGCAAGGCCUUGCGCUCUUUGAGCGGCCGAUGUCAGAUUAGCUAGUUGGUGAGGUAAAGGCUACCAAGGCGACGAUCUGUAGCGGGUCUGAGAGGAUGAUCCGCCACACUGGAACUGAGACACGGUCCAGACUCCUACGGGAGGCAGCAGUGGGGAAUUUUGGACAAUGGGGGCAACCCUGAUCCAGCCAUGCCGCGUGAGUGAAGAAGGCCUUCGGGUUGUAAAGCUCUUUCGGCCGGGAAGAAAUCGCAUGGGCCAAUACCCUGUGUGGAUGACGGUACCGGAAUAAGAAGCACCGGCUAACUACGUGCCAGCAGCCGCGGUAAUACGUAGGGUGCGAGCGUUAAUCGGAAUUACUGGGCGUAAAGCGUGCGCAGGCGGUUUUGUAAGACAGGCGUGAAAUCCCCGGGCUUAACCUGGGAACUGCGUUUGUGACUGCAAGGCUAGAGUACGGCAGAGGGGGGUGGAAUUCCACGUGUAGCAGUGAAAUGCGUAGAGAUGUGGAGGAACACCAAUGGCGAAGGCAGCCCCCUGGGUCGAUACUGACGCUCAUGCACGAAAGCGUGGGUAGCAAACAGGAUUAGAUACCCUGGUAGUCCACGCCCUAAACUAUGUCAACUAGGUGUUGGGUGGGUAAAACCUUUUAGUACCGUAGCUAACGCGUGAAGUUGACCGCCUGGGGAGUACGGCCGCAAGGUUAAAACUCAAAGGAAUUGACGGGGACCCGCACAAGCGGUGGAUGAUGUGGAUUAAUUCGAUGCAACGCGAAAAACCUUACCUACCCUUGACAUGCCAGGAACUUGCCAGAGAUGGCUUGGUGCCCGAAAGGGAGCCUGGACACAGGUGCUGCAUGGCUGUCGUCAGCUCGUGUCGUGAGAUGUUGGGUUAAGUCCCGCAACGAGCGCAACCCUUGUCGUUAAUUGCCAUCAUUUAGUUGGGCACUUUAACGAGACUGCCGGUGACAAACCGGAGGAAGGUGGGGAUGACGUCAAGUCCUCAUGGCCCUUAUGGGUAGGGCUUCACACGUCAUACAAUGGUCGGUACAAAGGGUUGCCAAGCCGCGAGGCGGAGCCAAUCCCAGAAAGCCGAUCGUAGUCCGGAUUGCAGGCUGCAACUCGCCUGCAUGAAGUCGGAAUCGCUAGUAAUCGUGGAUCAGCAUGUCACGGUGAAUACGUUCCCGGGUCUUGUACACACCGCCCGUCACACCAUGGGAGCGGGUUCCGCCAGAAGUAGGUAGCCUAACCGCAAGGGGGGCGCUUACCACGGCGGGGUUCGUGACUGGGGUGAAGUCGGAACAAGGCA